rnacentral:rRNA from 1 species
UACGUAGGGUGCAAGCGUUAAUCGGAAUUACUGGGCGUAAAGCGUGCGCAGGCGGUUAUAUAAGACAGAUGUGAAAUCCCCGGGCUCAAGCUGGGAACUGCAUUUGUGACUGUAUAGCUAGAGUACGGUAGAGGGGGAUGGAAUUCCGCGUGUAGCAGUGAAAUGCGUAGAUAUGCGGAGGAACACCGAUGGCGAAGGCAAUCCCCUGGACCUGUACUGAAGCUCAUGUACGAAAGCGUGGGGAGCAAACAGG